rnacentral:rRNA from 1 species
UACGAAGGGGGCUAGCGUUGCUCGGAAUCACUGGGCGUAAAGGGUGCGUAGGCGGGUCUUUAAGUCAGGGGUGAAAUCCUGGAGCUCAACUCCAGAACUGCCUUUGAUACUGAGGAUCUUGAGUUCGGGAGAGGUGAGUGGAACUGCGAGUGUAGAGGUGAAAUUCGUAGAUAUUCGCAAGAACACCAGUGGCGAAGGCGGCUCACUGGUCCGGUACUGACGCUGAGGUGCGAAAGCGUGGGGAGCAAACAGG